UAGGGAAUAUUAGAAAUGGACGAAAGUCUGAUCUAGCAACACCGCGUGUGCGAAGAAGGCCUUUGGGUCGUAAAGCACUUUUUGGAAGGAAUAGGAAGGAAUGUACUUCCCGAAUAAGUCUCGGCUAACUACGUGCCAGCAGCCGCGGUAACACGUAGGUGGCAAACGUUAUCCGGAUUUACUGGGCGUAAAGCGCGUGUAGGUGGUACUCUAAGUAGGGCGUGAAAGCUCCUGGCUCAACUGGGAGAGGCCGUUCUAAACUACAGAACUAGAGGAUGGUAGAGGGAGGUGGAAUUCCAGGUGUAGCGGUGGAAUGCGCAGAUAUCUGGAGGAACACCGGUGGCGAAGGCGGCCUCCUGGACCAUUCCUGACACUCAGACGCGAAAGCUAGGGUAGCAAACGG
rnacentral:rRNA from 1 species